AAGGAAUAUUGGACAAUGGCGGAGACGCUGAUCCAGCUAUCCCGCGUGCAGGAUGAAGGACCUCUGGUUUGUAAACUGCUUUAGACUGGGGCGAAAAAGUGGGAUUUAUCCUACAUUGACGGUACCAGUAAAAUAAGCACCGGCUAACUCCGUGCCAGCAGCCGCGGUAAUACGGAGGGUGCAAGCGUUAUCCGGAAUCACUGGGUAUAAAGGGUGCGUAGGCGGCUUGCUAAGUCAGGAGUGAAAGGCCACGGCUUAACCGUGGGAUUGCUUUUGAUACUGGCGAGCUUGGAUUAGGACGAGGUUGGCGGAAUGUGGCAAGUAGCGGUGAAAUGCAUAGAUAUGCCAUAGAAUACCGAUUGCGAAGGCAGCUGACUAGACCUAUAUUGACGCUGAGGCACGAAAGCGUGGGGAGCGAAC
rnacentral:rRNA from 1 species